AACGCUGGCGGCGUGCUUAACACAUGCAAGUCGAACGAUGAACCACUUCGGUGGGGAUUAGUGGCGAACGGGUGAGUAACACGUGGGUAAUCUGCCCUUCACUCUGGGACAAGCCCUGGAAACGGGGUCUAAUACCGGAUAUCACUUGCGCAGGCAUCUGUGCGGGUUGAAAGCUCCGGCGGUGAAGGAUGAGCCCGCGGCCUAUCAGCUUGUUGGUGAGGUAACGGCUCACCAAGGCGACGACGGGUAGCCGGCCUGAGAGGGCGACCGGCCACACUGGGACUGAGACACGGCCCAGACUCCUACGGGAGGCAGCAGUGGGGAAUAUUGCACAAUGGGCGCAAGCCUGAUGCAGCGACGCCGCGUGAGGGAUGACGGCCUUCGGGUUGUAAACCUCUUUCAGCAGGGAAGAAGCGCAAGUGACGGUACCUGCAGAAGAAGCGCCGGCUAACUACGUGCCAGCAGCCGCGGUAAUACGUAGGGCGCAAGCGUUGUCCGGAAUUAUUGGGCGUAAAGAGCUCGUAGGCGGCUUGUCACGUCGGGUGUGAAAGCCCGGGGCUUAACCCCGGGUCUGCAUUCGAUACGGGCAGGCUAGAGUGUGGUAGGGGAGAUCGGAAUUCCUGGUGUAGCGGUGAAAUGCCCAAAUAUCAGGAGGAACACCGGUGGCGAAAGCGGAUCUCUGGGCCAUUACUGACGCUGAAGAGCGAAA
rnacentral:rRNA from 1 species